rfam:Dipodomys ordii contig_3557, whole genome shotgun sequence.
GGGAAGUUGGCUCAGUAGUAGAGCGCUUGCCUUGCAUGCAUGAGGCCCUGGGUUAGAUUCCUCAGCAUUCUG